rnacentral:rRNA from 1 species
UUAUGCCUACGGGGGGCAGCAGUAAGGGAUAUUGGUCAAUGGGGGAAACCCUGAACCAGCAACGCCGCGUGAGGGAAGACGGUUUUCGGAUUGUAAACCUCUGUCCUCUGUGAAGAUGAUGACGGUAGCAGAGGAGGAAGCUCCGGCUAACUACGUGCCAGCAGCCGCGGUAAUACGUAGGGCGCGAGCGUUGUCCGGAUUUACUGGGUGUAAAGGGUGCGUAGGCGGCUUGGCAAGCCAGUAGUGAAUUCCAUGGGCUUAACCCAUGAACUGCUCUUGAAACUGUCGAGCUUGUGUGAAGUAGG